GGAGGAGUGUCUGAGCGGUUUAAAGAGGCUGCCUUGAAAGCAGCCUGGGCUGGGUUGACCAGCCCGCGUGGGUUCGAAUCCCACCUCCUCCG
rnacentral:tRNA from 2 species